rnacentral:rRNA from 1 species
GAUGAACGCUGGCGGCGUGCCUAAUACAUGCAAGUCGAGCGAACACACAAGGAGCUUUCUCCUCUAACGUUAGCGGCUGACGGGUGGGUAAGACGUGGAUAACCUACCUAUAAUACGUGGAUAACUUCGGGAAACCGGAUCUAAUACCGGAUAAUAUAUUGUACCGCAGUGUGCAGGAGUUAUAGACGCUUUUGCUGUCACUUAUAGCUGAUUCCGCGCCGCAUUAGCGAGUUGGUAAGGUAGCGGCCUACCAAGGCAACGAUGCGUAGCCGACCUGAGAGGGUGAUCGGCCACACUGGAACUGAGACACGGUCCAGACUCCUACGGGAGGCAGCAGUAGGGAAUAUUCGGCAAUGGGCGCAAGCCUGACCGAGCAACGCCGCGUGAGUGAUGAAGGCCUUCGGAUCGUAAAACUCUGUUAUUAGGGAAGAAAAAAUGCGUAAGUAAACACGGCCGUUCUGACGGUACCCAAUCAGAAAGCAACGGCUAACUACGUG